rnacentral:lncRNA from 1 species
UUGCCUACUACGAUAUGCCUCAAGCGUCUCAACUUGAAUAAAACAUCAGGAAUUCUUGGUACUUCAUUUAUGAGGUAUAAAGUGUGUAAAUUCUUCAACUUGCCAAUAGACCGUGGCAAGAUGAUGGUUCCACCAAAUCUUAACUUCAAAUACCUUAGAUGAUGUAGAUUACCAAUUUCACUUGACACAUUCCACUCGGGCCACACAUCAUUUCUCACAAGAUUUAAUACUCUUAAAAAUUUGAAAUCAUUGCAUUUUGAAAUGUGCAAUUUUAUCAAUUCUUCGUUCUGAAAGAGCAAAAGAGUGCGUAAAUUUGAAUGUUUUCCUUUCAAUGAAACAUACCUUUUGCUAGGAUGAAUAGCAAUUCUUCGUGCCAUAGAUGCUGUCAAAGUCACAUGAAGAGAAUUACCAUCACUUUCGUUCAAUGGUGGCUGAAUAAUUUUUAAGAAAUUCUCCUCUUGAGCUUUUUUCACUCACAAGUCCCUCAAGAGAUCAUGUACGUGACAUGUUUUUACACCUACUCCUGUAUGGUCUCUCUUACCAACUUGAACCAAACAUCUAUUUAUUAGCUGUUCCAGGAAUUGUUCAGCUACAUCCUCCAUCAACAUUUCCCCGCUUUCCCAUGAUGGUGAAAUGAAACCUUCAGCAAUCCAUAAUCGAAUGAGUUCCCUUUUUGAGAUCUCCCAAUCUUCUGGAUAAUGGCCAAGAUAUAAGAAGCACGGUUUUAAAUGAAAAGGCAACUCAGUGUAACUUAAACUCAAAAUCCCAUUCACUUUACCAUAAUCAUCUUGUAGUGGGAAAUUGUUUAAGCGUGCGUUGAUGUUUCUCUGGACCAUCUCCCACUCAGCCCUUGUCUUUUUGGUUGCUAGCAAGCCUCCCAACACAGCAAUUGCCAAAGGUAGACCUCCACAUCUUUUCACCAUCUCUCUUCCUGGCAUUUCCAAUGCUUCUGGACAAACAUGAGACUCUGUCUUGUUUUCUGGGAAUGCUUUCAUUCUAAAAAGCUUCCAACUUUCAUCAUCUGUAAGAAAUGAAAGUUCAGUUGGGGAGCUGCAAGGAUCAGCAUGUACCGCCACGUUCUUGUGGCGUGUUGUGAAUAAAAUUUUGCUCCCCUUUUUCCCUUUUGGAAAAGCAGGUUUAAAUUUAUCCCAAUCGUCGCUUUUCCAAAUAUCAUCCAACACUAUCAAAUAUCGUUUUUCUUUCAAGCCAUCAUAAAGCUUUUUCACCAACUGGGUCUCUACCAGUUUAUCAUCAUCUUGCUCUCGAGGGAGAAGUUUUAUGAGGAGAUCUUGCAAAACUUCUGUUGGCCUACAUUGUUGAGAUAUAAAAGCCCAGGCACAACAAUCAAAAUGUCGUUUCACAUCCAUAUGAUUAUAUACUUUUCUUGCAAGAGUGGUCUUACCAAUGCCCCCCAUGCCGACUACCGAAACAACGACAUGAAGUCUAUCUUCUUCUGUCAUCAACUGCUUCAAAACAUGCCUUGUGAUGCCCUCCAAGCUAACAACAUCCUCUUCUUCAACAUGUGAAUAUGUUCUCCUUAACCCCUGCUGCAUCUCGAAAACAGAGCGAGACCCCUCUGCUCCAGAUAUCCGAUUAUAAGCCAGAAGAUUCUUAGAAAUGCUUUCAAGCUUAGUCUGGAUUGCUUUGACCUCCACCCCGAUUUUGUGCAGACGAGAAGGCUUGGUGAAUCUCUUGAUGAAUCCACGAAAGCCUCCUUGAUGUGCGACUUGAAGAAUGAAGUCGUCAAUAACGUCUUCUGCUUCAUAAGCAAGAUCUCUUAUUUGACUCACCAAAGUGCAGGUAAGCUCAUCUUGGUCUUGCUUCCUGUCCGCAUCAAUCAAGGAGCUCUUCAUCCGCUGCAGUUCAGCCUUGAGGCCUUCCACUUCCUCACGAACUCCAUGCAGGAAAACAGCUUCAUGAAUGAGCAAAUCCGAUAUUCUUUCAAUAGCUAAGGACACAAUAGCCUCUGCCAUUUGCUCUUGCUGAUUCAAGUUACUUCUCUUUUCUAGGAUUUUAAACUGAUCCGCCUGUUUCUACUAUAAGUAUUCUUUUCUCCUUAUUUUUUUUGGGUUUCCGUAUUUCUAUUUCUCCUUAUCAAAAGGUAUGAAAGCGUGUUGUCUAUUUGACAUUGGACAAGAUGUGGGUGUUGUCUACACCCACAUCUUUUAAAAACUAAAAAAAAAAAAAAAAUCAGUGCAUAAAAGAUUUAAUAAAAUGAUUACUGUUUUUGUCAAGCUGAGAGGAAAUAUAGAGGAAGCUAACAUGAAGCAUGUUCCGAGUUCAAGAAGAUAUAUGUAUGUCCAGUAAAUUUUUUGUUAUUAGCACCAAAUCUUAAGCACUUAAUGUUUAUUUAAAUCCUUAAUUAUUCAUUUAAUGAUAUUUACCAUUAUCAUAUCAUUAAAAAUUGAAAUUAUGCGUUAAUCGUAGAAUUGAAUUUGCUACCAACACAAGUUGCCUCUUUCUUUGUUUAGGAUAAGCAAAUAAUUUAGAAGAGAAAGGCUGCAAAAAUAAGAUAGAAUGAAAUAUUAUUUCUUAUCCUCUGCACCAACAUAAGCAUUAAAUUGAAGCCUACAGAAUAACUUGGCAAAAAUGAGGCAAUGUUUGCCGGUAGAAAUUUCAAAACAUGAUGGCUUGAAUGUGGAUCUUCUCGUAUCUUCCCUUUUAAGAAUAGGUUUGUUAAUUUAUGUUCAAGCUAUUAAUAAUGCACCAACCCAGAAGAAAAACAGCCAAAUGGGUUAAAGUCAUAGAACAGAAAAACUGUAGCAUAAUUAAUAAGUAUUAUAUAUCAUCACUGAAUUUAUUAAUUUCUUUUGUAAAAAUAUUACGAUUUACAUUUAAAGUUACAUAUAUUUGUCUUUGGAUAAACACACAAUUAUUUUUGGCAUAUGAUUAGCUUAACACUUGUGUUUUAUACGCCAACUAAGGUGAGAUUAGGGAAACCAAGUCCUCAUCUAGCUUAAUGGCAGUUACUAGGUAGUUUUUGUAAUGAACCACUUCAAAGUAAUAUAAUUACAUAUAUUUAUCAUUAAAUUAAAUAUUCAGGUUUUUUUAAAAAAAAAAUUAGAAUCUAAAUGGUGAAUGCAAAAGAAAAAGCUCUUUUCUUUGUAACUUCUUUCCCUCCAAUUUUGUGGUGUAUGCUAUUGUAGUGUGGGCUACUCCCACUGCUAUUACAGGAAAAAGCAACGAAAAAGAUCAAUCAAGAGUCUUGAAAACACAAAGAGACAUUGCCUCACUAGGAAUGAAGAGGAGAUGAAGUGAUACUCAUGAUUCAUCUCAAGAAAUCACCCAUAAUUAGAUGCAAAGGAACCAUUUCUACAAGGACCUAGUCAAUCAAAGGGGGAGGAGAGAAGAAACUAGUAAGCAUUAAGGCCUACAACAUAACAUAUAAAGCUUAAAUGGUAUGAUAUGAUUAUAUAACAUAUCAAAAUGCCAGUAAUCAAUUUCAAAGCUAUACAUCAUUGAAAAAAGACUGAUACAUUAAUUCAUCUCAAAGCUUACAGUAUCAGCUGUAGCUGGGUACUUGAACUUGCCUAAAUUGACAAGACACAGGCGGUUGGGAGAGAAAGAAAGAAGGGAGCAGAAAUGACAAAUCCGGGUAUUCUUUGUUAGGGUCAAGUACAAAACCCAACAUUAGGAAAAAGAUAAAAGAAGAAAGAAUUGUUUUAUAUCAAGACUGAGAAAGGCCAACUGAUUUGGUACAAUCCCAUGAUCCAAAUCAUUAAUCCCAGGGAGAUGUUUUAUGUAUAAUUCAUUUAAAAUAUUUAUGUAAUUAUUACAUAAUAAUAUUAUUAAAAAAUCACAGCAAUAAUGAUAUAACUAUAGUGAAUAAAAAAAUAUUAAAUUAAUGAUAAUUACUUGUGGAUCUUAAUUAUGAAUAAAUUGAAUCAAAAUUUUUAAACAAUAUGCUUAUAUAUUAACAUAUUUUAUUAGUAACACGGAUAUUAAUUUACGUUAAGAUAUAGAAACAAAUAUAAAUAUUUUAGUUUAUUUUCUUUAUCUAAUUCCAGAUCUUACUUUCAUCGUGGUAACUCCGGCUGGCGUUAAUUAAUUAUAUAUACCUAAACCAAAAAGUCCUGAAAGUGACAGCUUUGGCAACACAGACAGCACGGAGAAGUUGCCUCGCAUGGGGAGCACAUAGGGGGCUUCCCAUGUGCAUGUGCAUGUGCAUAAUUAAUUAUAUAAACUUUAGUCAAUAUUUAUGAUUCCCAUGUAUCAUUGAAUAACUCAAUUGCCUUUGGAUUUACUUUAUUUGCAGCACAAAUUAAGCAAAAACCCAAAGCUUCAAUAACACAAAACAAUGUGGAAAUUCUGCCCUUGAAUCUUUUGUUUAAUCUUCUGGAUAAGCAAUUCCCAUGUACCAUUCACAAGUUGCCUCUUUCUUUAAUCUUUUGUUUGUUUUUUUUUUUCUUUGGAUAAGCAAAUUAUUUAGAAGAGAAAGGUAGCAAAGAUAACAAGAAAUAUAUACUUCCAGCUUAAGUUAACCAACGACCUCCUACAUUUUCCACUAGACAUGGACAACUAACUAUAUAAUAAGUAAAGAAAAAUAACAUUUUAAAGUUGAAUAUAGUUAAUUAAUAGGCUAUCCAAUAGAGUAUCUCAAUUUCAUUGCCCAAGUAUUCACACGUAUAAUAAACAAUAGAAGACGAAACUAAAUGAUUUUCUUUUUUUUUUUUUGUGUAAAAAUUGUUAACAGAGUCUAAAAACUCUUACAACCAAAUCUCAAAAAACUCUUAUUCAUUCAUAUUCUAAUAAAUUAAAUGAUAGGAAGCAUAUAUUAUUUUUUGUUGAUUCAAGCAUUAAUUCAUACAUUCCUUGAGGCGGUACAAUAUAAAUCACAUCCUGAAUUUUAGCUACUACAAGGAAACUCAAUCUGAGUCUUGAGCCGAGAAUAGAGAGAUAGCAAGCAAAAUUGCUUGAGCAUUUUUACUAUGUCACUACUAUCUUAUCUUUUACAAUUUGUAACCUGCAGAUAGGAUCUUCAUAUAAAUUACACUUGUCAAAGAAUGAGAAAUCAUAAUGUACAAUAUUUUUUAAUUAUAUUAUAUUUUUCAUGAUUAUUGUUCAUUAAAUGAUAUUUACGCAUUAUCGUACCAUCAAAAAAUCAAAUUACAUUCUUGUGUCAUGAAAGAUCUAUUUCGUAUUUCUUUUAUCAAAUAAUUUGUUUUAUUUGAAAGAAACUCAAACCUAACUCUUUGAAAUACAUAUAUUUAAUGUUAAGCCAAAAGUUUGGAUAUUCUUUUAGAAAAAGUUAGGGCUCUAAGCAUGUUUUUUUACUAAUGCAAAAGCCAAACCAUUUUUCCUUGUAUUUCUUUGCCACAAACUAUAUCAUGUAUGCUUAGUGUAGAGUGGGGCUACUCCCACUUCUUUUAAAAAAGAAUAUUGUGUUCUGUGAAACCGAGAGGAAAUUUGGAGGAAGCUAAGCUAACAUGAAACAUGUUCCAAGUAUUAUUAUUUUAUACAACAUUAGUGAUCAUGAUUGUAGUGCGGGCUACUUCCAUUUGUUUUUUUUUUUUAAAUAAUAAUAUGGUCAAAAUAGAAGAUUAAAUUAAAAAAAAAAAACUAAGUUUUUGCAAACCGAAGGAAAUUUGGAGGAAGCUAAGCUAACAUGAAACAUGUUCCAAGUAUUAUUAUUUUAUACCCAUUAGUGAUCAUNUAAUAAUAUGGUCAAAAUAGAAGAUUAAAUUAAAAAAAAAAAACUAGUUUUUGUCAAACCGAAGGAAAUUUGGAGGAAGCUAAGCUAACAUGAAACAUGUUCCAAGUAUUAUUAUUUUAUACCCAUUAGUGAUCAUGAUUGUAGUGCGGGCUACUCCCAUUUCUUUUUUUUUUUUUUAAAGAUAAUAUGGCCAAAAUAGAAGAUUAAAUUAAAAAGAAUACAAGCUCUUGUGAAACCAAAAGGAAAUUUGGAGAAAGCUAACAUGAAACAUUUUCCAAGUACGAUUAUUUUAUAUACCGUUAGUGGUCAUGAUUGUAGUGUGGGCUGCUCCCACUUUAUAUAUAUUUUUUUUUUAAAAUCAAUAUUAUGGUCAACAUAGAAUAUUAAAUUAAAAAGAAUACUAGUUUUUGUGAAACUGAGAGGAAAUUUGGAGGAAGCUAACACGAAACGUCUUCCAAGCUACUCCCACUUCUUUUUUUUAAAAAAAAAAUCAACAAUAUAACCAAAAUAGAGGAUUAAAUUAAAAAGAAUACCAGUUUUUGUGAAGCCAAGAGUAAAUUUGGAGGAAGCUAAGCUAACAUGAAACAUGUUCCAAGUAUUAUUAUUUUAUGCACUAUUAGUGGACAUGAUUGUAGUAUAUAUUUUUAAAAAAAAAUCAAUAAUAUGGCCGACUUAGAAGAUUAAAUAAAAAUCAAUAAUAUGGCCGACUUAGAAGAUUAAAUAAAAAUCAAUAAUAUGGUCAAAAAUAUUAGUGACAAAUAAAUAGACAAAUCUAAUAAGUUUCUCUUUUUGAUGUAAAAAUUGUUAAAAAAGUCUAAAACUCGAACCAAAUGCAAAACACUCUUAUUCACUCAUACACUAAAUAAAUUAAAUGAUAAGGAGAAUCAUAUAUCAUUUCUAUUUAGAUUAAAAAAAUGAAAGACAGAACUCUAAUACGAGAAAACGUAGUGUAAGAAAUGAAUCUUUUUGAGCCUAGCUAGCUGUCUCUAGAGUUGUAAAAAUAAUGAGAAAUCAUAAUGUAAGAAAUUAAUCAUGUAUUAUUCAUAAUUAUUGUUCAUUUAACAAUAUUUACCCGUUAUUAUCUCACUAAGAAAUGAGAUUAUGCGUUAUCACAUUAUAAAAUAUUUAUUCCGCGUUUCUUUUGUCAAAUGAUUUUUUUACAUGGAGAAAAGAGAAUUAAUUCAUACCUAAUUAUUUUAAUAAAAAUACAUAUAUUUAUUAUUAAAUUAAAUAUUCAAAAAUUAUUUUGUCAAAAGUUAGGGCUGCGUGCUUUUGGGUGAAAGUAAAAGCAGAAGCUACUUUCCCUGUGCCUUCUUUUUCCACCAAUUUUCUCACAUAUGCUAUUAUAGUGCGGGCUAGCUAACUACUCCCACUUCUUUUUAAAAGGGAGGAGAAAAAGAUCAAUAAUGUCUGACCCACAUGGAAGAUUAAAUAUAAAUGAUUACUGUUUUUGUCAAAUCGAGAGGAAAAUUAGGAGGAACUUAAUCUGAAAUGUGUUAGCAUUGAUUUAAAACCUUCAUUUAUUUGUUUACUUUGGGACUAUGUCAAAUGGUGAAGGCAUCCAUGCAUGAAGAAGCUCUAUAUUUUGCUUUGAUUUAAUAUAUAGUUUUCUUGGGUUAUGAUAGAUGGUUCCUCUUCAUUUAUUCAUUUCAGAAGUCUAUUCAUGGAGAUAUGAGGAACCCUCGUAUUGAAAUUUUAUUUGUAGCAAUUAACAAAGGACAGUUAAUUGAAUACCAUUUACUCUGUUUUAAGAAGGUCCAAUCCUCAAUCUUUAACAAUUUUUGACUUCCACAAAAAAGGCCAUAAAAAUUAUGUAAAUUUUAUUUAAUUAAAAUUAAGUCUUUUUUAGUAUUUAAUCCUGAACUUACAUAAUUUAGUCUCAGUUUCUUCUAUCUUUUUCAAUUGUCUUUGGAUUUACUUCACUUCAUUUGCAGCACAAAAUAGAAAUCAAUCCCUCGAAUAAGAUUGAUGAUAAUUAACAAAUUAAAGAUGAGAUCAUCAAGUGGGGUAUAAUUAAUGAUAAUUAACAAAGCACUAAGACUUCAAAUUAGCAUCGCUGCAUAUGAAAGUGACAGCUUUGGCACCACAGACAGCAUGGAGAAGUUGCCUCCCUCUAGAAAAGACAAUGAACCAAAGGCUGCUGUUUAAUUUUCACGUGAGUAUUCUCAGCGCUAAUUUGUGGAAUCGUUUGACAAAUGGAAAUGUCCCGUGUGAUGAGCUCCAUUCUAGAGAACCAAGCCGAGCUGAUGAAAGAGGUUCAGUCUCUCCCGAAAGAAAAUCAGCAGCUUCGUCAAUUGCUUUGAGUACAAAUGCGCAAAUGUGAGGCUAAGAGAUUGGUCUUUGUGACAUGUAUAGAAAUGCUUCUCAGUUGAUUGAAAAAUGAAACUUCUAAUUUCUACCAGAGUUAUCUCCGUACAUCGAGUUCCCUAUUUCAACUUGCAUGAUAGAUAACAUAAAUCUUCUAUGAAUCCUUCUGAUUAUUUUGUUUUCCCUUUCGUCAUCUUAUUUUGCGCACUAAUAUCGUCAAAAUUUUAACAUAAUAUAAGCAGCAUUUUAGAUAAUUAAAGAAGCAGAAAAAGCAAAGACUCUUCCUCUAUGUUAUCUCAUAAGGUAGGAAUCCUAUAUCUAACAAGAAAGAGUUGACAAGCAGCUGCUUUCUUAGAAUUUCCAGUUUCACCAAGCCCUCUUGCUGUCUCAUUGAGAGUGGAGAAAAUAGGAACAAAAUCAAAAAACAGAACUUUGACUAGCUUUUGCCUUUUAAGUGCUAGCAAACAAAUGGAUAAUGUUCACUUGUGAAAAUCUAAAAUUUAUUAACAAUUGAUUCAUUCAAACUCAGCAAUUUAUUUCCAAAAAUACAACUUAAACUUUCAAACAAUCAAAAAGCAAAAAAUACAAAUUCAACUUUCAAACAAUUGAAAAACAAAUCCAGGUGAUCCCCCAUGUUGCUCUUAUUGGCAUAGUACAUUUCUGAGCCAAUUAGAUUUACCUACACCAAGAAGAAAAUGGCAUCAUCUCUCAUGAAAAGGAUAGACCCAAAUAAAAAAAAAAAUUAUCAUAUAAAUAUCUAACUCACCUCCAACUACUAGGACUUGAGGAUUUGACUUUGCAAAACGAGAGCUUUCAAUCUUCCAACGUACAAUCUAUUUGGAUGGAGGGUAUGUGGCGCACAUUAGAGAAAUCCUCUCCUUCUCUGCCAUCUAUCACUUGAAUCCUCUCUACCAAUGAACUCUUCAAAGAGGAUAAUUUCAUUUCUUGGAGAGCAGUAAUGUACCUCAACCCUUCUGGAAAACUCCUCAAAUUUGGAACUACAGACAGACUUAAACUCCGGAGACAUGGCAUUGCGCCUUUUUCUAUCUGCCACUUUUCUAAUUCUUGUAACGCCACAAUAACAAGACAAUCAAGUUGAAGAAACUCGUUGGCAGAGCAAACUAGUUUAGUCCCCUUAUAUGAGGAAGUCCAUAAUCGGAGAGUCCUCAAAUGAGGCAGCUUUCCCAAUGCAGCCAUUGGAUCCUGCUUCAUCUCACAUUCCCACAAUGUCAACUUGGCAAUGUUUGCUGGCAAAAUUUUCAAACUAUGAUGGCUCAAAUGUGGAUCUUCUCGUAUCUUCCCUCUUAAUAAUAGUUUUGAUAGGUGAUGGCAACGAGAAAGGGGUUCCAAGUCUGGGUAUGGGAUUGAAUCCUCUAACCACAUGUACAAUGACUCAAGGCGUUGUGAUUGAAUCAAUGCUUUUAGGAUAAGCUCCACAUCUUUUGAUCUCUCAAAACUUAUUCCUAAACUCCCAAUAUUAGUCAAGUCGAGCACUGCAUUAUUUUCAAUUAAACUCUUACUCCUUAUGUACUUUAAAGUUUCAAUAUUUUUUAAAGUAUCCCUCAGCAACAAAGGCUCAUAAACAUAAAUAUCACCUACUACAAUAUGCCUUAAACGUCUCAACUUGAAUAAAACAUCAGGAAUUCUUGAUACUUGAUAUCGGAGGUAUAAAGUGUGUAAAUUCUUCAACUUGCCAAUAGACCGUGGCAAGAUGAUGGUUCCAGCAGAUCUUAACCUCAAAUACCUCAAAUGAUAUAGAUUACCAAUUUCACUUGACACAUGCCACUUGGACAGCAUAUCAUUUCUC